rnacentral:rRNA from 1 species
UACGAAGGGGGGCUAGCGUUGCUCGGAAUCACUGGGCGUAAAGGGUGCGUAGGCGGGUCUUUUAAGUCAGGGGUGAAAUCCUGGAGCUCAACUCCAGAACUGCCUUUGAUACUGAGGAUCUUGAGUUCGGGAGAGGUGAGUGGAACUGCGAGUGUAGAGGUGAAAUUCGUAGAUAUUCGCAAGAACACCAGUGGCGAAGGCGGCUCACUGGCCCGAUACUGACGCUGAGGCACGGAAAGCGUGGGGGAGCAAACAGG